AUGGAGUUUCACUCUUGUUGACCAGGCUAGAGUCCAAUGGCGCAAUCUCGGCUCACUGCACCCUCCGCCUCCCGGGUUCAAGCGAUUCUCCUGCCUCAGCCUCCUGAGUAGCUGGGAUUACAGGAGUGUGUCACUACACCCAGCUAAUUUUGUAUUUUUAGUAGAGAUGGGGUUUCUCCACAUUGGUCAGGCUGGUCUCGAACUCCCGAUCUCAGGAAUGUAAACAUGGAACAAGAAGAUGGCUGUCACUCAAAAUAAAUUGCUGCAUUGGCCAGACGUUUUGGCUUUUCUGGUUGAGGGCCCAGUGGUACAUUGUGCUCUUGGCUUCCAGAAAAUGGAGUGGAUCCCAAGGCUGCUGGUUCAUGCAACUGCAAGACCUAGUAUGUUUUUUCUUACUAUUAGCCAUGUAUAGGCUGCAAGUCCUUCGACCAGGAUGAUUUAACAACUGAGUCAGUUGAUUAUAUAGAGAACCCCACUCUAUCUCAGUGUACUGAUUUACACACCUUAACUAGCUGCAGAAAUCAGAUGAAUUUCACUUAAUAAUGGGGUAGAUAGGAUCCAGUAUGGCGCCCACUAUUAUAGUUUCUUCACUAUUUUGCCCCUUCUAAAAGUGGCAUCUUUUUUUUCCACUAUUUUUGACCACUUGAAAAAGAGACCAGGAAACAAGGAUAAUGAAUGGGCCCCAUAUCAACCAGUUUUUUUUUUUUUUUUGGUGUUUUUCUUAUAAUGUCUCCCAUUUAAAUAUUCUUUCUGUUUCUCUAAAUAUCACUCCUUUGCUAGGUCUGAAUCAUCCUUAACAAGUAUAUUUUUUGAUACCGUUGUAUUUUUCAGGGGAAAAGGAAAAAAAAAACCUUUUUAUUUAAGGAUUUUUGAACACUAAUAUCUUUUACCUAGAAAGAAUUUCUCUUUUUACUUAAGUUUGAACCAGGAACUUGAAACACUAUACAUUUUCUGUUACCUUUGGCAAUAAAAUUAAAUCUGAAGUGAAAGAACUGAGUAAUCUACAACAUAUCCAUUUGUCAAUGUAACAUCCUGAGUAGCACACUUUAAACUUUUAAGCAUAUACAUUUUUAAAAGAUCUCCCUAUAAAUAGCUAAUGGGGAAAAUCUUGAUGUAUGAAAGCUCCGAGUCAUCUGUCUCACCCCACUGCUACUGUCAUGAGAGAGGGAACAGAAUUUGUCAUUAAUGGUUCAGCUCAUGGGGAAGUCCCUUUCUGAAUUUGAAAAUGGCUGUAUAUGUUUGCAGAUAAUGGUCCAGGUGCUUUUAAGUAUCUUGUAUCUAAGGAACAUGAUUUUUAAAAUCAUAAUUUAGAAAUAAAAUUAAGUAAUUAAAAUAAUAAAACAUGUCAAUGGGCAUUAUCAUAGAAAGUUUUUGAAACUCUGUAAUUUGGGUCUAGUCGGUCAACCCUGUCUUAUGGAUGACAGUGGCAUAGGCCAAGAUGUAGGUCAGGAUGCUGUAACCUAGUGGUCAGCUAAGGAAUGCUGCUGUAUGAGAUUGAAGUGAAAUUAGUUUGUACUACCAUGCAUUGGCCUUGUAGAAGUCCAAUGCCCUCAUCCAGAGUUCUGUGACUCUCUGGGAUGGGGAGGCCGGAGCUUAUAUUUUCAUGAUCACCUUUGGCUCUGUUUGUGCAUCUGAUGAAGUAUUCUUCAUUCUUCACCUUGAGGCUGUCCCUACAUCUCAAUCCUGGUGUUGACACAAAGGGUUUGGUCAGCGAUUGGUGUUUUUGAUACUCUUUUCACCCUAGAGCAACCUUAAUGCAGGUUGAUUGCAUGAAGUUUCCUUAGUGAGAGGGCCCAUCAUUGUUCAACAAUUGUAAACAACAUGAAAUUGUACAUUAGAAAAUCCUUGCCAUUUAUGAACCAAAGUUGGUUUUCCUUCAGUUUGUUUUGCAUAAAUUUUUUUUAAAAAACCUAAUUAGUACAUGUGUUAAAAAUUUUCAACAGCAUGGAAGGGUACUCUUGUAUGCAAAAAAUAUUCUUACAUGAGAUCACCAAUUAGCCUGCUCUGAGGUGACUACGGUUAAUAAUUUGUAUUCUCCUAUAAUAUUUUUAAACAUAUAUGUCUCAAUCCUUCUUUGUAAACAAAAUAUCACACUAUACUUAAUAUUUUGUACCACUUUGCAUUUUAUACGAAAAAAUAUUUUUGAGUAAUCUGAUAUCAGUAUCUAAAGACCUGUUUUAUACUUUGAGUAGCUGCAUAAUAAUAUUUCAUUGUAUGAGACUUUCAGUAAUUUAUUAUUUCUUUUUGUUUUCAAACACCAACUAUUAAUAGAAUCAGAUAUACUAUAAUUUAUUAACCAGCCAGCUCUUUACAGAUAUUCAAGAUGUUUCCAGUUUGUUGCUAUUUUUUUUUUUUUUUUUUUUUGAGACGGAGUCUCGCUCUGCUGCCCAGGCUGGAGUGCAGUGGCACCAUCUCUGCUCACUGCAAGCUCCGCCUCUCUGGUUCACGCCAUUCUCUCCUGGGCUCAAGUGAUCCUUCCACCACGUCCUCUGAAAGUUCUGGGAUUACAGGGAUGAACCACUGCACCCAGCCCUGGAUAAAUUUUUAUAAGUGAAUUUUUUUGGAUUAACAGGUAUUUGGAUAUUUAAUUUAACACAUAUGGCUAAAUUGGUCUCUUUUAGAAUCAGCUUGUCUGGUUCCAUCAUCCCCAAGAUCUCAUUUGUAGUUUCAUUUGGAUCACAUUGAAUUUAUUAAAUGUUAGGGAAAAUAAUAUUUUAUGAUUGUAUCUUACUGUGCAAAACCAGAGUGGCUUGCAAUGUGUUUGUCUUAUUUUAUGCCUUUUAGAUUUUAAAUUUUCUGUGUUUUUGACUCUGUUCAUUUCUUGUUAGAUUUUUUAAAAUUAAACUUGAAAUUUUGACAUAAUUUGUAGAUUCAUUCAGUUGUAAGAAAUAAUCCUGUGAGAUCCCAAAUUUUACUCAGUUUUCCUCCAGUGUCAUCAUCUUGUGAAAUUGUAAUACAGUCUUGCAACCAGGAUAAUCAAAUUGACAAAGUCAAGAUUUAGAACACUGUCAUCACCACAGGAUGCCAGGACAAACUCUUUUGUAGCCACACGACUUCCUACCCUAUCUUCUAUUCCUACUCUCCAAGAAUCACUAAUUUGUUGUUCCAUUUCUAUAAUUUUGUCAUUUCAAGAAUGUUACGUAAAUAGACUCAAACAUGAUAUAACCAUAGAGGAACAGCUUUUUUCACUCAGCCUAAUUUCCUGGAGAUUCAUCCAAGCUGCUGUAUGUAUCAAUAGUUUGUUCCUUGGUAUUAUUGAGUAGCAUUCAAUGGUAUGGGUGUACCAAAGUUUAUUGAACUAUUCCCUACUGAAAAACAUCUGAGCUGCUAACAGUUUUUAAAAUUUUAUUAAUAAAGUUUUAUAAAGAUUUAUGUACAUAUUUUUUGUCAAUAUGUCUUCAUUUCUCUGGGGUAAAUGCCAAAGAGUCCAGUUACUGGGUUAUAGAUAGUUGAAUAUUCUGUUUUUUUGAGUCAAAGAAAUUUUGCCUAGCAUUCAAUGGUAUGGGUGUACCAAAGUUUAUUGAACUAUUCCCUGCUGAAAAACAUCUGAGCUGCU
rnacentral:lncRNA from 10 species